GAUUAAUCUAAAAAUAUAAACUCUUUUUUAUUUUUUUCAUUCAUAAAAUCAUCAUUUUAGACAUUGUCGAUCUAUGUAUUAAUCUUUCAGGAAGAAAGUAAAAUAAAAUGAUAUUAACCAAAUUUAUCAAAUUUACACACAUUGAUCAGUAGUUGUAACAGCCACACCUACCGCUGUAUAACACGCACAAUGUCAGAACACGACCCGCGGUGUCAGAUUUUCUUGGAGGACAAGUGUCGUAGGGCGAUAGAGAACUGUCACCCGGAACAGGCAUGCGUUCCUGCGGACAUGACUCGCGUCCCGAUCCGCGCUCCGCCUCCAAUGAACCGGAUGGACAUCAACUGCGGCUGCCCUCCCAUGGCUGGUCAAGAGUAUUGCUGCAACAUGCCGGGCACCGUGGAGACUCGAAUUUUGAGGCGCCCGAUGAGAUGUGUCCGACCCCCGUGUAACUACUGUAUCCCAGCUGUACCAUGCAAUGAUCCACCGAAAAAGCCCUACCGACCACGCCGAGACCCACUGUGUUUUGACU
rnacentral:sRNA from 1 species